AUUGAACGCUGGCGGCAUGCUUUACACAUGCAAGUCGAACGGUAGAGGGGGCAACCCCUUGAGAGUGGCGAACGGGUGAGUAAUGCAUCGGAACGUGCCCAGUCGUGGGGGAUAACGCAGCGGAAGCUGUGCUAAUACCGCAUACGAUCUUUGGAUGAAAGCGGGGGACCGAAAGGCCUCGCGCGAUUGGAGCGGCCGAUGUCAGAUUAGGUAGUUGGUGGGGUAAAGGCCUACCAAGCCAACGAUCUGUAGCUGGUCUGAGAGGACGACCAGCCACACUGGGACUGAGACACGGCCCAGACUCCUACGGGAGGCAGCAGUGGGGAAUUUUGGACAAUGGGCGCAAGCCUGAUCCAGCAAUGCCGCGUGCAGGAAGAAGGCCUUCGGGUUGUAAACUGCUUUUGUACGGAACGAAACGGUCUGGGUUAAUACCCUGGGCUAAUGACGGUACCGUAAGAAUAAGCACCGGCUAACUACGUGCCAGCCGCCGCAGUAA
rnacentral:rRNA from 1 species